rnacentral:piRNA from 1 species
UAGCCACGGUGUACCGGAAACCGGCAC